GGAGACAUAGUGGAGGUUAGUCAAGGAGACAGGUGGUGCAUGGUUGUCGUCAGCUCGUGUCGUGAGAUGUUGGGUUAAGUCCCGCAACGAGCGCAACCCUUAUUGCUAGUUACCAUCAUUCAGUUGGGGACUCUAGCGAGACUGCCAGUGAUAAACUGGAGGAAGUGGGGAUGACGUCAAAUCAUCAUGCCCCUUAUGACCUGGGCUACAAACGUGAUACAAUGGCUGAAACAAAGGGCAGCGAAGCAGUGAUGUGGAGCGAAACCCAAAAAAGCAGUCUCAGUUCGGAUUGAAGUCUGCAACUCGACUUCAUGAAGUCGGAAUCGCUAGUAAUCGCGGAUCAGAACGCCGCGGCGAAUACGUUCUCGGGGUUU
rnacentral:rRNA from 1 species